AAUUGCUUCUGGUUACCAUAGUGAUAUGAUUAUAUUCCAAAAACAGUAAAGGCAAUCGUAAAGAGGAACUACACUUAGACAAUUAACAAAAGAUACAAAACAGAACCGCCUCCAAACAGAUCUAUAUCAGAUACCAAUAGAUUGUAUGCAGAUUACUGAUAAGAACACAAUCACAAGGUUCACCGACCAUGUCUUUAAAUGAUAAAUAAGCAACAAAACACUAGUCUUCAUGCAUUAGAAGAUCCAACAUACUAAGAGAACAUUUCAACUUUUGUGCUUCUGCCCAACAAAAAUACCAGCAUCCACCACAGCCCAAUCACAUGAACAGGUUCGGCCUCGUCGCCUUGUAGGUGGUCUUCAGCUUCCUGGUUGGUGGCCUGACCUUUUGGUACACAAGGGGGAACUUGAUCUUGGAGUUGUGGAACUGCUUGGUGUUGUCUCUCUUGCAUAGCUUGAAGUUGACAGUCGCGGUCUUGAUGAUCUGAAUGCAGGGGGAUCUCACACGGUGGCGAGAGGCCAUCUCAGUGUACAUCUGCUCCACGGCACCAUUCAGUGUGG
rnacentral:lncRNA from 1 species